UUUUCAUUUUCAAAGUAUUUUAUUUAAAUAAAUUUUUCUUUUGUGUGUGUUUGAAUUUUACAGAAAAAAAUACUGACAAAUACUAUACAGCUUGGACCCUUUAUAUUUUUCUUGGAAAGGUGGCUGCCAUUUUUCUACCUUUCUCCCUCCCUGCUCCCCCCAAGAAAAAGAAACAUGGAAUCCAUUGAGCAAUGGGGAAAGGAGCAAUGGGGAAAGGCCUCCUCUGGCUGCCGUCCGGAGCCUGGCUAAAGCUGCUCAGAAGUCCAGGCCUAGGGGAUGUCUUUCUCGAGCCUGUGCUGGUCUAGGAAGCCUCUUCUUUAGGAAUCAUUUUUUUGUCCCCCGUGAACUUACCCUCCCCAGAUGAGUCAAGCAGUCUCUGGUCCUGAGGUCCCAUGGGUUGCCAGUGGCAGUUCAGGGACAGAGGCUGGAAGGAGUGAAAAUGGAGAGGAAUAAAGGGCUGGGGCUGGUCUGGUGCAGGCAGAAGAGGGAAUCAGAGAAGCAUAAAACAUGGAGAAAAAGAUGAGAAGGAAUGACUGAGAAGUGAGUUUCUGGGUGUUUCAUCCCUGGGGUGAGAGCAAGUCCAUUGGAUUAGGAGACAGCAGGGACAUUGUGCCUGGAGAUAGAGGCCUUGUCAUGGCAAUGACAACUGACUGCUGUCUUAAUUCAAAGGAGCAAGCAGUUGCCAUGGAAACCAUGUUACUUGUAUGGUCCCGGAUCCCGGUGAUCCGCCCUCCUAGAUCAUAUCUGACACUACGUCUCAGCUGUCAGCCUCCACCUCUCCCCAGCCAUCCAUUCUAGGGG
rnacentral:lncRNA from 10 species